rnacentral:rRNA from 1 species
ACGCUGGCGGCAGGCCUAACACAUGCAAGUCGAGCGGUAGAGAGAAGCUUGCUUCUCUUGAGAGCGGCGGACGGGUGAGUAAUGCCUAGGAAUCUGCCUGGUAGUGGGGGAUAACGUCCGGAAACGGACGCUAAUACCGCAUACGUCCUACGGGAGAAAGCAGGGGACCUUCGGGCCUUGCGCUAUCAGAUGAGCCUAGGUCGGAUUAGCUAGUUGGUGGGGUAAUGGCUCACCAAGGCGACGAUCCGUAACUGGUCUGAGAGGAUGAUCAGUCACACUGGAACUGAGACACGGUCCAGACUCCUACGGGAGGCAGCAGUGGGGAAUAUUGGACAAUGGGCGAAAGCCUGAUCCAGCCAUGCCGCGUGUGUGAAGAAGGUCUUCGGAUUGUAAAGCACUUUAAGUUGGGAGGAAGGGCAGUAAAUUAAUACUUUGCUGUUUUGACGUUACCGACAGAAUAAGCACCGGCUAACUCUGUGCCAGCAGCCGCGGUAAUACAGAGGGGUGGCAGCGUUAAUCCGGAAUUACUGGGCGUAAAGCGCGCGUAGGUGGGUUGUUAAGUUGGGAUGUGAAAUCCCCGGGCUCAACCUGGGAACUGCAUUCAAAACUGACUGACUAGAGUAUGGUAGAGGGUGGUGGAAUUUCCUGUGUAGCGGUGAAAUGCGUAGAUAUAGGAAGGAACACCAGUGGCGAAGGCGACCACCUGGACUAAUACUGACACUGAGGUGCGAAAGCGUGGGGAGCAAAC